UGCAAUUCCCAGAAUGCAUUGGCGGUUUAAGGCUUUCACUUCCUAGGGCCAGGGAGAGCAGGUUCUGAGGUACAACGGCAAAAACGUCCGGAGCAACAGCAAGGAAAAGUACGGCGUACGGUUCUGUAGCACCUUGUUCAGGGUAUUCGCCACAUUUCAAGGAAAUUAUUUAAUUCGGUAAAAUUAAUGAGGAAAGUAUUAAUCUUCUAAACAAGUUACGCGGCAGAGGCUGGUAUUAUCCCCAAUUUACAAAUGAAGAAACUGAGUUUUCUGUGAUUAAGGUCAUUUGGGUAUCACAAAAAUCUUAAUUUUGAAAAGCAUACUGGUAUCAUCUUGUGUUACAGAGGAGGAAAGGGAAGUCUAUGGCUCUAUUUGAUUCUAUGACUAUGUGUUUUCCUCAGAAAUUGACUAUCCCAGUGGCCUGAUGUAUUCCAGUAAUACAAGUGGGGAAAGAGGGAUUUGAAUGGAACUAAGACAGUCUUUAUCCCUUUCUCCCAAUCACGGGCCAGAUUCUUUUUUUUUUUUUUUUUUUUUUGUAUAUCCUUUUAUUGGUGCAUUUUAGGU